CACCCGAUUCCUCCACCGCACUUUCUGCCCGCGCGAUGACUCCGCCGCCACGAAUCCCCGCUGCCUCCUCCCUCCUCCUCCCUCCCCCAUGCCUAGGGAGGCCACGAUGGGCUCCUGGCCAGUCACCGCCGCCAGCAAUGCCCGACAACGCAACGCCCUACUACGCCAAGGGAAGGCCACGAGGGGCUUCCCGCUUGCCGUCGCGGCCGCCAUGCCCUCCUCCGCACUGGACCGCUGCCACUCACUCCGCGCCCGGCGACACUAUGGCCUCCCUCUGUCGCACCAAAGGGAGCUUCCCAUUCACCGCCUCCAUCGUGUCGUGAGGGACCUCCACUUGUGGCACUUCUGACGCUGCGACGCAGUGGAGGGCAUUGCCUCUGGUGGCACCAUGGUUCUACUGCCAUUUACCGGAAUCAUAUCAUUUAGUGGUUUCAAUCUCUUCUCCCCCUUCCAAUUCAUUGUUUUGUUUCUGCAAUUUGGUUGACAAAGCAAGUUCCUUUAUUGUCUGGACAUACUGUAUUUUGCCCAGUAGGUGUUCAAUUAAAUGCCACUGAAAUAAUCUGAAUCAGAGCCGGUUUAAUCAUGCAUCUACGUGGACACAUCCUUUAGUUUUAUUGUCUAAUAGGUAUUGAUUAUGUAUAUAGCAGUGCCAUAAGAAUUUUUCUCUACAGCUCAUUCAAGCAUUCAACAAUGCUGGGCUGAUUUUUGGAAUGAGCAAUAUAAGUUUAACAUUGUUCCAUGUUUUUGCUUGUAGGAUGUAUACUUCUAUUGUUGUCCUUACCCUCAUACCUGCGUAUGUGUAGUAAUAAAUAUUGGUUGCAUAAGAAUGACACAGAAGACUGAGUGGGUCUUUGUUGCGAACCCAAAAGGCCUAUAGAUCUUACUGCUAUGAUAGACGGUGAUGAUGACAACGAUGAUGAAAGUUAUCUCAUGAGAGGUCAAGGUUGAAUUUGAUUGGAAAUCAGCUCUGCAAUGUCCUCUCAAUCAAGGAGGAGCCUAUGUCGAUUACUUGAGCUUUUUAGCCAUGUUAAUGAUUGUUGAUAUCGCUUGUAAUCUUUGUCUCCAACAACACAUUGCUCACAAGUGGGCUGGUUGAACUCCAUAUGAAUGUGCAUAAACUCAAGUGAAAUUUGGGGCCACUUUAAAGAAGAGGGGCGAAGAAGAUCUGUAAGUUAGAAGGUGAGCAACAUGGAUGGUGAUGGUGUUCUGACGUCCAAAUAUGAAACCAGCCAACCAGCUUGGCAGCCUGAAGAUCUUUUGGACCAAAAGGGCAGGCCUCUUUCCCAAGGUGAAGCACUUCGUAGCUACAAUAUGCGAGUGCUCAGCCUAUACACCAUAUCCUUAUAUGAGUAUGCUGAGAGUUUUAUUCUCCAUUGAGGUGAAGUAUGCUCAAAAGUUUCGUUAAAAUAUAUUCAGUUUAGUGAUUUUGUUCAUGAACUAACUCACUUCACUACCAUGAACUCAUUUCUCCAAAAUUUUGGAUCUUUUAUUAGCAAAUCUAUGGACUGAAGUGGGGUUUUGGCCAGAGCUCCAAUCCCCUGCAAAUCCCAAAUGCAGUACGAGUAAUAUUUUGCAAAAUUAUGUACUCCAGUUCUAUUGGAAUUGAUGUAAAACCAACAAAUUCUUAGUUUUGUCAGUUAUUAAAACGCAUAGAUGCAUAUUGUGUAUGACAUUAUAUCAAACGUGCGUUGCACGUACAUGAUUACUAGUAACUACAAAAAGAACGUGCCU